rnacentral:rRNA from 1 species
ACACAUGCAAGUCGAACGGCAGCAUGAUCUAGCUUGCUAGAUUGAUGGCGAGUGGCGAACGGGUGAGUAAUACAUCGGAACGUGCCCUGUAGUGGGGGAUAACUAGUCGAAAGAUUAGCUAAUACCGCAUACGACCUGAGGGUGAAAGUGGGGGACCGCAAGGCCUCAUGCUAUAGGAGCGGCCGAUGUCUGAUUAGCUAGUUGGUGGGGUAAAGGCCCACCAAGGCGACGAUCAGUAGCUGGUCUGAGAGGACGAUCAGCCACACUGGGACUGAGACACGGCCCAGACUCCUACGGGAGGCAGCAGUGGGGAAUUUUGGACAAUGGGGGCAACCCUGAUCCAGCAAUGCCGCGUGUGUGAAGAAGGCCUUCGGGUUGUAAAGCACUUUUGUCCGGAAAGAAAUCGCACUUACUAAUAUUAGGUGUGGAUGACGGUACCGGAAGAAUAAGGACCGGCUAACUACGUGCCAGCAGCCGCGGUAAUACGUAGGGUCCAAGCGUUAAUCGGAAUUACUGGGCGUAAAGCGUGCGCAGGCGGUUGUGCAAGACCGAUGUGAAAUCCCC